rnacentral:lncRNA from 1 species
GAUCAACAUUGUCAUCGAGGGAAUGAACAGCCUCAAGCAAAAAUCUGAUCCCAGUCAUUUCGACAAGGUAACUUAUUUUUCAAUUUUUUUUGUUUCCGAAAUGUAUUUAUAUUGGAAUCAUCGUUGGGUAGCUGAAUAAGAAAUAAGUUAUUCCUGUAUAUCUCAAAGGCUAACACUUGCGUAUAGUUCUUCUUGGACACCAUAGCUUGACUUUCAAUUUCAUCUUCCAUCCCCAC